CUCACCGAUAUACUGUGGUUCCGGAGGAACCUACAGGCACCGAUAAAAACAGCUACCUACCCAAAAAGAGUGGUCCAAAAUGAACGAAAGUCAGAACACGCGUAGACUAGCGAUUGGAAUGUUGUUACUGCCACACCCAUAAGGUGAAGGUUUGUGUGAAGAAAGAGAAGCGGCUCUGGGUUUCUGCUGUACAAGGAGAGGACAUUUAUUGGAGAUUUCCAAACAUCACAGAUGUGCGUUGCCGGACGACGGUCGUCUUCUGACUGACUCCAGUGAUUCAGGUGAGGUGAAAACAUACGCUCACAUGCAUGUCACACACCUGUGCACACACCUGCACGCUCAGACACACAGUCGCACACACGUUCACAGUCUUGAUACAAAAAAUUGAAAUACAAAUAAUACCACGAUAAAAACAUUGUAUUUUUUUUUUUAGAAAUUCUUACAGUAUUCGCUAUGUUCUCUAUUCUGUAGAAAGACAACUAAGCUUUGAUAAGUGAACAUUAUUUAUGUCCUCUAAAAUGAUCAGUAAGAUAUUAUCAUCAUGUAAAUUAUUACAGUAUAAAUAUCUUUUAAUCUAUUGAUUCUUUGCCUCCUGCUCUUUAUUCACAGGUUGAUGAUCAACUCCAACAUCCUGCACAUUUUAAAGGCCUCAGCUGGCCUCAGUCUGCGUCCGUUUAUCACAUCCUUUAAGAUCUUUGAACAAUUAAAAGGAAAUAAAGCAAAAGAUGAAACAGUUUUCUCUCAUAAUCCCAGCGUUUACAGUCAAAAUCUACGCACCUGCUUGGUUUUUACAUACCUAAAUUAAUAAUAAAUGUCACCAAGAUGUAUAAUUCUCCAGUGUACAAUCUUUACUGUUAUUCAACUAAAAAAAACACAAAAUGCUAACAUUUUUCAGGGUUUUGUCCACUUUCUAUUGUAAAACCAACAAGUGUUUUGUCUCAAACCUGAAAUUCAUAACAAGUGAAGACGGUUCAACAUGUAUGUCUUCAUGCAAACUAAAUAAACAGCCAUGAAUGAACGAAAUUAAACUCAUUUAGUUCCUGGAAGUGCUCAGAAAAAUCUCCCAGGUUAUAAUGACUGAAAGAGGGACGAAAUAAAAACAAAUCUCAUAAAACCCUUUUUGUUUUUGUCUGCUUUUAAACAGCCUGUGAGUAUUUACAAAAGUGGAGAACAAGCAGAA